rnacentral:rRNA from 1 species
UACGUAGGUGGCAAGCGUUGUCCGGAUUUACUGGGCGUAAAGGAUGCGUAGGCGGACAUUUAAGUCAGAUGUGAAAUACCCGAGCUUAACUUGGGUGCUGCAUUUGAAACUGGGUGUCUAGAGUGCAGGAGAGGUAAGUGGAAUUCCUAGUGUAGCGGUGAAAUGCGUAGAGAUUAGGAAGAACACCAGUGGCGAAGGCGACUCUGGACUGUAACUGACGCUG